rnacentral:pre_miRNA from 1 species
AAUAGAUGACGCCGUUGACUUUUUCUCACAUGUUUGACCAUUCGUCUUAUUCAAAAAAUUUGCGUAAUUAUACUUUAUUUUGUUAUGAGUUGUUUUAUUACUCAUAGUAUUGUAAGUGUGAUUUAUAUCUUAUAUAUUUAACAAAAAAAUUGAAUAAGAUGAAUGGUCAAAUAUGUGAGAAAAAGUCAACGGCGUCAUCUAUA